UGGGCGUAAGGGCUCGCAGGCGGUUUCUUAAGUCUGAUGUGAAAGCCCCCGGCUCAACCGGGGAGGGUCAUUGGAAACUGGGGAACUUGAGUGCAGAAGAGGAGAGUGGAAUUCCACGUGUAGCGGUGAAAUGCGUAGAGAUGUGGAGGAACACCAGUGGCGAAGGCGACUCUCUGGUCUGUAACUGACGCUGAGGAGCGAAAGCGUGGGGAGCGAACAGGAUUAGAUACCC
rnacentral:rRNA from 1 species